CUCUUGUUUUCUUUCUCUUCUUCUGCAAUUUUUCCUUAAGCAUAGCCAAUCUAAGUUAGAUUACAAGGAAAGAAGAUGAAGUGAUUCAAUAAAUUUGUAAAUCUCGGCAUCAAAGGUUCGAGAAGUGAAUACAAUUUUAGGAACUCUGCAACAAUUUCGUGAAGAACUCUGCAACAAUUCGAUUUGGAUCAAGGGAUGAAUAUGUUGUAUGCACAAGAUGCUUGAAUAGAAGAUUUAGGAGAAAAGUUACCAGAUUGAAAGGCGAAGUACCAAAAGGAUUACCAGAUUGGAAAGAAGAAGAGAAAUAACCUUUAGGAGAAGAAAUUUCAGAUGGUCUAUUAUAUCUAGUUCAACUUUCUCAUUA